CAGGCAGGGAUCUACUGGGAGCAUCCUGCCCUGGAGCAGCCCAGCCUCUGUCGCCCUCUCUGAAAGCAGCUCUGGAGCGUUGUCACCCACGUGCCUGGCAACAAUGGAGCUGUGCUGGGACCAGCGGAACCCCCAACACCUCAUCAUGGUUUGAGCUGGGUGGGAUCUUGGAGAGGAUCUCUAGUGCAGAUCAACAUCUUCAUAGCUGUGCCGUUGGGAAGGUAUUGGCUUUUGGGGCAGUGGAUUGUGUUUUAAUGAUUAGGUCAAAGAGAACCUUCAACCAUGGGCUGGCCAGUCUGAUGAGGGGGAAGGCUUGGAGGGUGGGUUCCAAUGUGGCAGUGUUUGUGCCAUUGUUUCCUCCUGGGGAGGAAACCAGGCCACCCUGAUAUUCCUUGGCUCAAGAUGAGAAUCACAGGGCACAAAGUGCCUGGACACAAAGAGUCACAGCAUGGGGAACAAACAAGAACUGGAAAUGUGAGUGUGCAGUGGCAGAGCUGUGAUCCCAUUGCAAUGACAGUGGGACAGCUCACCUGGCAGGGAUGUUGUCAUGGAUGGCCAUGGCCACGUGCCCCCCACAUCCCUCACCUGCACUCUGGGACACUCAGCAGAGGAACCCACAAGCCCUGGGAUGAUGGAGAAGGAGGACAGAACCCAACCCCAGAGCCAGAACCAUUUCCAGGCUCCCCACACGAGGAGGAGGCAGGAGAGAACAGCCGCAUGUUGACCCUUGGAUUUGGGACAGAACAAUUUAUUAAAAACACAACAACCUAUUUCCUAAACCCACUCAUAACCUGCAAACACACAUACAGCACUGUGCCAACAGAGGGGGCACAGAGGUGGGCACUGGGCUGGAACCACGGCCAGAAGGGUGGUAUGGGGCAGGAGUUGCUCGAGGAGCUGCCGGAGGAGCUGGAGGCCUUUGGGGUUUGGGCGCUGGGAGGGGUGCUGGGGAGGNNNNNNNNNNNNNNNNNNNNNNNNNNNNNNNNNNNNNNNNNNNNNN
rnacentral:lncRNA from 1 species